CACCCUGUGCGUGGAUGUCGCUGGCCUGU
rnacentral:piRNA from 1 species